GAUGAACGCUGGCGGCGUGCCUAAUACAUGCAAGUCGAGCGAACGGACGAGAAGCUUGCUUUUCUGAUGUUAGAGGCGGACGGGUGAGUAACACGUGGAUAACCUACCUAUAAGACUGGGAUAACUUCGGGAAACCGGAGCUAAUACCGGAUAAUAUUUUGAACCGCAUGGUUCAAAAGUGAAAGACGGUCUUGCUGUCACUUAUAGAUGGAUCCGCGCUGCAUUAGCUAGUUGGUAAGGUAACGGCUUACCAAGGCAACGAUGCAUAGCCGACCUGAGAGGGUGAUCGGCCACACUGGAACUGGGACACGGUCCAGACUCCUACGGGAGGCAGCAGUAGGGAAUCUUCCGCAAUGGGCGAAAGCCUGACGGAGCAACGCCGCGUGAGUGAUGAAGGUCUUCGGAUCGUAAAACUCUGUUAUUAGGGAAGAACAUAUGUGUAAGUAACUGUGCACAUCUUGACGGUACCUAAUCAGAAAGCCACGGCUAACUACGUG
rnacentral:rRNA from 1 species